rnacentral:rRNA from 1 species
GAUGAACGCUGGCGGCGUGCCUAAUACAUGCAAGUCGAGCGAACGGACGAGAAGCUUGCUUCUCUGAUGUUAGCGGCGGACGGGUGAGUAACACGUGGAUAACCUACCUAUAAGACUGGGAUAACUUCGGGAAACCGGAGCUAAUACCGGAUAAUAUUUUGAACCGCAGGGUUCAAAAGUGAAAGACGGUCGUGCUGUCACUUAUAGAUGGAUCCGCGCUGCAUUAGCUAGUUGGUAAGGUAACGGCUUACCAAGGCAACGAUGCAUAGCCGACCUGAGAGGGUGAUCGGCCACACUGGAACUGAGCCACGGUCCAGACUCCUACGGGAGGCAGCAGUAGGGAAUCUUCCGCAAUGGGCGAAAGCCUGACGGAGCAACGCCGCGUGAGUGAUGAAGGUCUUCGGAUCGUAAAACUCUGUUAUUAGGGAAGAACAUAUGUGUAAGUAACUGUGCACAUCUUGACGGUACCUAAUCAGAAAGCCACGGCUAACUACGUG